rnacentral:misc_RNA from 1 species
GAUGAAGAACGCAGCGAAAUGCGAUACGUAAUGUGAAUUGCAGAAUUCAGUGAAUCAUCGAGUCUUUGAACGCACAUUGCGCCCCCUGGUAUUCCGGGUGGCAUGCCUGUCCGAGCGUCAUUGCUGCCCUCAAGCACGGCUUGUGUGUUGGGCCUCCGUCCUCCUCCCGGGGGACGGGCCCGAAAGGCAGCGGCGGCACCGCGUCCGGUCCUCGAGCGUAUGGGGCUUCGUCACCCGCUCUUGUAGGCCCGGCCGGCGCUUGCCGACACAUCAAUCUUUUUUCCAGGUUGACCUCGGAUCAGGUAGGGAUACCCGCUGAACUUAAGCAUAUCAAUAAGCGGAGGA